GGGUAGGGCCUGAAUGUUGCAGGCCUGGGUAGAGUAGGGCCUGAAUGUUGCAGGCCUGGGUAGGGUAGGGCCUGAAUGUUGCAGGCCUGGUAGGGUAGGGCCUGAAUGUUGCAGGCAUGGGUAGGGUAGGGCCUGAAUGUUGCAGGCCUGGGUAGGGUAGGGCCUGAAUGUUGCAGGCAUGGGUAGGGUAGGGCCUGAAUGUUGCAGGCCUGGGUAGGAAUACCCUUCGCAAUAUUGAUAAACCCAGGUCAAUGUAAACCUGCCAACACCUGUCUCAAAAUGUUAAAUCAGAAUGUGGACAAGAUCAGGACAAAGGAGCAGGUAUAACCGGGGAUAAAGUGUCGGACGAUCGUCAGGCAGUACUAAAAACACCAGAGUAGCAACUGUGGGAGUUUUUAUUACACAUAAAUAAUCUAAAUGCAGUAUAAUUCACAGUGUCAGAUGAAUGAGAAUCUGUCCUGUUCUUUGUGUGGUCAGUAGGCAGACGGUUCCAACAGAAACACUGGGACCUACAACUGUAGGAUGCUGUUCUGAGGCGGAGCAACCAGAGAAUCUACAACGACACUGAGUGGACAAACAUGAAAAACAAAUUCAUGACAGACUGACCAGUGAUUGAUCCCUUAUUAAAUCACUUCAGGUAGAUGAGGAGAGGGACAGGUUAAAUCCACUUCAGAGUAGAUGAGGAGAGGAGACAGGUUAAAUCCACUUCAGAGUAGAUGAAGGAGAGGAGACAGGGUAAAUCCACUUCAGAGUAGAUGAAGGAGAGGAGACAGGUUAAAUCCACUUCAGAGUAGAUGAAGGAGAGGGAACAGGUUAAUCCACUUCAGAGUAGAUGAAGGAGAGGAGAAAGGUUAAAUCCACUUCAGAGUAGAUGAAGGAGAGGAGACAGGUUAAAUCAGUAUUUCUGGAAAUUAGGAAGUUCUUUGUCCACUCAGUGUAUAUCUGUGGCUCUGGCUGCAGUCUUUAUAAUGGACAGUUUGGAAAAGCCGUUCUGCAACACACUCAUCUCUCUCCCACACAUGGUCAGGCCGGCCCCCACAGGAGCCCACAAUGACAUCAUAGUCUCACCUCUGACCCAAGAGAACUUCUUCUUGGUUGGGUUUGAAGGCGGUGUACAUACCAGUAUUACUGCCAUACCCAAGAACAUUUAAAGGGGAGGGGCUUAAUGGCCAACUCAGCCCAUCCGAGUAAUGUCCAAAAU
rnacentral:lncRNA from 1 species